rnacentral:rRNA from 1 species
UACGUAGGGUGCGAGCGUUGUCCGGAAUUAUUGGGCGUAAAGAGCUCGUAGGAGGUGUGUUACGUCGGCCGUGAAAACCUGCAGCUUAACUGUGGGCGUGCGGUCGAUACGGGCAUCACUGGAGUUCGGCAGGGGAGACUGGAAUUCCUGGUGUAGCGGUGAAAUGCGCAGAUAUCAGGAGGAACACCGGUGGCGAAGGCGGGUCUCUGGGCCGAUACUGACGCUGAGGAGCGAAAGCGUGGGGAGCAAACAGG